rnacentral:lncRNA from 1 species
UAGGCCCCACGUGAGCCUCAGGGAGCCCCCAGCGUCUUCACUGUUGUUGUCGUUAGUGUUAUCCCAAGAGUGCUCAACUGUAAAACGUUCUUUGCUUUUUUGUUAAGAGGAACAAAUAGCGAAGGUUUUGCUUUCAGGGGAAGAAGAGGAAGAGACGCAGUCAUCUGCUGAUGACCUCACCCCGUCCGUGACCUCCCACGAGGCCUCUGACCUCUUCCCAAACCGGAGUGGAUCUCGUUUCCUGGCUGAUGAAGUCAAAGAACCUGGCUCUUCUGCCUCCUCUGACCCUGAGGAGGACUCCCUUCCUGCCAACAAAUGUAAGAAGGAGAUCAUGGUGGGACCUCAGUUCCAAGCUGACCUCAGCAGCCUGCACUUGAAC